rnacentral:rRNA from 1 species
GACGAACGCUGGCGGCGUGCCUAACACAUGCAAGUCGCACGGGACCAGGGGCAACUCUGGUUCAGUGGCGGACGGGUGCGUAACACGUGAGGAACAUGACCUUCGGCGGGGAGUAGCCGGCCCAACGGCCGGGUAAUACCGCGUACGACCUUCUGGGACGAUCCCUGGAUGGUGAAAGCAGCGAAUGCGCCGACUGGAGUGCCUCGCGGCCUAUCAGCUAGUUGGUGGGGUAACGGCUCACC